GACGAACGCUGGCGGCGUGCUUAACACAUGCAAGUCGAACGGACAGGCCUCUUUCGGGGGGUACUCGAGUGGCGAACGGGUGAGUAACACGUGAGUAACCUGCCCUUGACUUUGGGAUAACUUCAGGAAACUGGGGCUAAUCCCGGAUAGGUGCUCCUGCUGCCCGGUGGGGGUUGGAAAGUUUCGGCGGUUGGGGCUGGACUCGCGGCUUAUCCGCUUGUUGGUGGGGUAGUGGCUUACCAAGGCUUUGACGGGUAGCCGGCCCGGGAGGGUGACCGGCCACAAUGGGACUGAGAUACGGCCCAGACUGCUACGGGAGGCAGCAGGGGGGAAUAUUGCAGAAUGGGGGGAAGCCUGAUGCAGCAACGCCGGGGGCGGGAUGACGGCCUUCGGGGUGUAAACCGCUUUCGCUCGUAACGAAGCAUUGUGUGACGGUAGUGGAUAAAGAAGCACCGGCUAACUACGUG
rnacentral:rRNA from 1 species